rnacentral:rRNA from 1 species
GGGUUAGUAGGUUGGUCAUGCCUCUGGUAUGUACUGAUCUCACUGAUUCUUCCUUCUGACGAACCAUGUUGUCAUUAAUUUGGUGUUUUGGGGAAUUUGGACUGUUACUUUGAAAAAAUUAGAGUGUUUAAAGCAAGCUAACGCUUGAAUACAUUAGCAUGGAAUAAUGAAAUAGGACGUUCGAUCCUAUUUUGUUGGUUUCUAGGAUUGACGUA